AUUGAACGCUGGCGGCAGGCCUAACACAUGCAAGUCGAGCGGCAGCGGAAAGUAGCUUGCUACUUUGCCGGCGAGCGGCGGACGGGUGAGUAAUGUCUGGGAAACUGCCUGAUGGAGGGGGAUAACUACUGGAAACGGUAGCUAAUACCGCAUAACGUCGCAAUACCAAAGAGGGGGACCUUCGGGACUCCUGCCAUCAGAAGUGCCCAGAUGGGAUUAGCUAGUAGGUGGGGUAACGGCUCACCUAGGCGACGAUCCCUAGCUGGUCUGAGAGGAUGACCAGCCACACUGGAACUGAGACACGGUCCAGACUCCUACGGGAGGCAGCAGUGGGGAAUAUUGCACAAUGGGCGCAAGCCUGAUGCAGCCAUGCCGCGUGUAUGAAGAAGGCCUUCGGGUUGUAAAGUACUUUCAGCGGGGAGGAAGGUGUUGAGGUUAAUAACCUCAGCAAUUGACGUUACCCGCAGAAGAAGCACCGGCUAACUUCGUGCCAGCCGCCGCCGUAAUAC
rnacentral:rRNA from 1 species